rnacentral:snRNA from 1 species
GUGCUCAAUUCAGCAGGAAAUACACUAACAUUGGAACGAUACAGAGAAGAUUAGCAUGGCACCUGUGCAAGGACGACAUGCAAAUUCGUGGAGCAUUCCAUAUUUUU